UAAAUUACCAGCUCCAUCCGAAAAUCCCCUUUUUCUUUUAAUCGGAAAUUACGAAGCUCCUCCGAUCAGUUUCAUCGGAAAUUACCAGGCUACGCUCCUCCUCCACAGUUUCAUCGGAAAUUUUGAGGAGAUCGAUCGAGUUUCGAAGCUCCGAAAAAUCAUCGGAAACUACCAAGCUCCGAAAAAUCAACAAUCUCGUCCAAGCUCGUCCAUUAUCGAAAAUUUCCUCUGUUCCGACGAUCGAAAAAUCGCUUCUAGGCUCACAACUCCUCCAUAAUCAGCCGCACCAGAGGCGGCGUGCUAAUCCUUUAUAGUUUCUCCAAAUCUGAACCGGUUAUUCAACUCCAGGGUGAUCAGAGAAAGAACGUUUCUGCAUUUCUUGUCCAGGUGAUUGCUCUUUACACCAGGGUUGAAUUUGAAGUGGGAUUUCAGUUUUUUGGAGACUCUGGACAAGUGCAAUUGCCAAGAUAACUGCUUAGAAUCUUCUCUCUUUCUUGCUUUUCGUCUUCAUUUAGUCAGCAGGAGACAGAGGCUCGUACUUAAUUUGAAGUACACCUUCCUCUGUACUCCCUUCUAGUCUAUCCAAGUACACAAUCUCUCCUCAGGUUUUAAAAGAAGCUGAGAAAGUGAAGAAUUGGUUGAAUCAGAAGGAAGCUGAAUAGAAAGAAGAUUUUAAUAGUCAUGAAUCAAGAAGGGUGUUCAAGCAAAAACAAAAAAAUAUCCAACCGCAUUCCAGCUGGAUCACUCGCAUCUUUGCGAAACCAAAAGGUUUCGUCGUUGACAACAAAGAGAACCUCUCAAGCUAUAAGGUUUAAUGAAAAUGAAGAAAGACAAUCGGAAUCUCGAUCACUUGCAUUUUUGCGAAAUCAAUCGUUGACAACAAAAAGAACCUUUCAUGAAAAUGAAGAAAGACAAUCAGAAGCUGAGAAGGUUUCGCAAAGAUCUCAAAUGCAAGAAAAAGUGCGGCAAGUGCCAUUGAUUUCUACCUCUUCUACAGCACAAGGAGUACAAGAACAAGUGCGGCAAGUACCAAUGAAUUCCAUCACUCCUACAUCACAAGCUGUGCAUGAACCAUCUGAGGAUUCUACCAAUCAUGAAGCAAUUGAACAAUCUGAGGAACCAGGCAAGUAUAUAUAAAUUUAAUCAUAAAAUAAACUAACAGUGGUGAUUGGUGAUUAUCCUUGUUUUGUAUUAGUGCAGGCCCUUCCGCACCAAAAAGAAAAAGAGGCCCUACUCAAAUGCAAAGUGUGCACGGUAGGAAGGACCGUAAAAUAAUCGUGCUAAAUGAGUUCAAUCAACCCAUUGGUCCUACUAAUGAAGUUGUGAAAGAGUUGGGUAGCUUCCUCGGCACAUUGGGAAGGAAUGAGACCUUUUGUCCUCUUAAUGUAUUUGAUUGGAGGAAAGUAGAUAAAAAAAAUGAUAUUUGGAAAAUGUCAAGGAAAAAUAUGACAUUCCUGAAGAGGCGAAGAAUUGGGUUUUUGAUUCAGUUUGUACUGCUUGGAGAAAGUAUAAAAGUCAGUUGAAGAAAAAGCACUUUGAUGCAUAUGAGAAUGACGAGCUUCGAAUGGAGAAUAGGCCACAAAAUGUUCCGGCGUCUCAAUUUAAAGAUCUUCUUGACUAUUGGAACUCCGAUGCCGCCAAGAAAACGUCUGAAACCAAUAUCGAGAAUCGAAAAAAGUUGAUGCAUCCACACACUGCUGGCAAAACAAGUUUUGCUCGAAUCAUUGAGGAAAAAAAGAAGGAAAUGGCUGAUACUUCAGAUACUCUAUCAAGUAAGGAUAUCUUUGUGGCUACAAGAAAAAGAAAACCUGGUCGAGUAUACAAAAGCUCUUAUGAGGAUACAAUUAGUAAAAUUGCUGAAAUGGAAAGAAUACAAUCAAAUCAAGAAAGUGGAGAUGGUAGUGAUUCAGUUGAUGCGUUUGCAUCAGUCAUGGGACCUGAGCACCCAGGUCGGGCAAGAUUGUAUGGACGAGGAGUGAACAGAACUGUCUUAAAAAAGAAAAAAGGAGAUUUUGGAUCCUCUGUAAAUGCUACUACUGAUGAGAGAAUGGAACAAAAAAUUGAGGAAAUGGAAGAGAGGAUGCAACAAAAAUUGUUGGAAAAGCUCAAUGCACAAAAGGAAAAAAUGCUGGAAGAGCUCAAUGCACAAAAGGAUGCUAUGGAACAAGAUAUUACGAUGAACGUCGUUACACGACUUCAACGUCUCAACCCCGAUUUAAGACUUGAUCCUGACAUGCUAAUAUUCAGUGCUCGUGCACAUGGCGAAGCUGCUUCUGCACAACAAGGUGCUAUUCAACCAAUCAAUCGUCCAUCCGCAAGGAAAGGCUUAGUUGAAAUAUUUUGACAAGCUGCAAACUGGUCAGCUUGAAGAAGCAUCAUUUUCACAUCUUGUCAGGAAUUUGCAUUAGGAGGUGGAGUAGACGAAGAGAUGGAAGACGGAGGCAGUGAUGAAGAUUUAGACCUUACUUUGAAUUUUGAAUUGUUAGAUUGUUGUAGAUGCAUGUGGUGGUUUCUAAGAUUGUUUGUUAUCAAAACAUUUUAAAACUUUUGAUCUUGAAAUAUCAAAUGUAUGUUAUUGGUUUCAUCACUAUUUAUGGAUUUAUUAUUAA